rnacentral:misc_RNA from 1 species
AAGUCGUAACAAGGUUUCCGUAGGUGAACCUGCGGAAGGAUCAUUAAUUAUAUUGAAUAAUAUCCAUACCUUUACCAUUCAUAUUCUAAUGAAUAUAGAUGAUUAUAGUGGGAGGAGGAUAAUAAUAAUUUAUUAUUAUUUUACUACUAGUAUUAUUUAUAUUUAUUAGGGUUGAACUUUUUUUAUUAUUUCUCUCUUUUAUAUAUUAUCAGUAAAAUGAUAUGUUAUUUUAGAGAUUUUGUUGUUGUACAAAAAAGUUUUUGAAUUUUAUUAAAUUUAUGUGUUAAUAUAAUUCAAAACACUCUUUUAUAUGACAACUUUAAACUUAAAUCAAAUUAUUUUUUAUAAUAUACAAACUUUAAUAUUCUCAGUUUUAUAAUAAUUUUAUAACAACUAAUAACAAUGGAUCUCUUGGCACU